rfam:Neonectria ditissima strain R09/05 contig_41, whole genome shotgun sequence.
GGCGCAGUGGCAGAGUGGUCUAAUGCGUAUGACUAGAAAUCAUAUCUCUUCGGAGGCGUCUGUUCGAAUCAGGCCUGCGUCG